rnacentral:rRNA from 1 species
AGAGUUUGAUCCUGGCUCAGGACAAACGCUGGCGGCGUGCCUAACACAUGCAAGUCGAGCGGGGAUUGUGGAAGUGCUUGCACAGAAACAAUUCUAGCGGCGGACGGGUGAGUAACGCGUGAGCAAGCUGUCCUUCACAGGGGGAUAACACUUGGAAACAGGUGCUAAUACCGCAUAAGACCACGCUGCUGCAUGGCAGAGGGGUCAAAGGAGAAAUCCGGUGAAGGGUGCGCUCGCGUCCCAUUAGAUAGUUGGCGGGGUAACGGCCCACCAAGUCGACGAUGGGUAGCCGACCUGAGAGGGUGAUCGGCCACACUGGGACUGAGACACGGCCCAGACUCCUACGGGAGGCAGCAGUGGGGAAUAUUGGGCAAUGGGCGAAAGCCUUACCCAGCAACGCCGCGUGAGGGAAGAAGGUUUUCGGAUUGUAAACCUCUGUCCUGGGGGACGAAGGAAGUGACGGUACCCCGGGAGGAAGCCCCGGCUAACUACGUGCCAGCAGCCGCGGU